rnacentral:lncRNA from 1 species
UGAAGCGCGAGCCGAGCCAGGGGAGUCGUUGAAAGCAAGAGAAAGCACCCGCAAGGCUAGAUCAAGGCGACCUAGGCGGUCGGCACAGGAGAACUGAAAAUAGAAGGGUCAAGGCCCCAGUUCCGUUGUAACCUCCUUUUCUCGGGCAAUCUUCCAUGCUUCUAAAGGUUAAGGCUUUAUCCUUAACUACUUUAAUAAGAUGCUUCUUGACAGCCGCAACCAUGACUGGAUGCUCUCUAAAGAGAAUGUCGUUGCUAUACUUCCAAAUGAGAUGACAUAAUGC